rnacentral:rRNA from 1 species
GACGAACGCUGGCGGCGUGCUUAACACAUGCAAGUCGAACGGAAAGGCCCUGCUUUUGUGGGGUGCUCGAGUGGCGAACGGGUGAGUAACACGUGAGUAACCUGCCCUUGACUUUGGGAUAACUUCAGGAAACUGGGGCUAAUACCGGAUAGGAGCUCCUGCUGCAUGGUGGGGGUUGGAAAGUUUCGGCGGGUGGGGAUGGACUCGCGGCCUAUCAGCUUGUUGGUGGGGUAGUGGCUUACCAAGGCUUUGACGGGUAGCCGGCCUGAGAGGGUGACCGGCCACAUUGGGACUGAGAUACGGCCCAGACUCCUACGGGAGGCAGCAGUGGGGAAUAUUGCACAAUGGGCGGAAGCCUGAUGCAGCAACGCCGCGUGCGGGAUGACGGCCUUCGGGUUGUAAACCGCUUUCGCCUGUGACGAAGCGUGAGUGACGGUAAUGGGUAAAGAAGCACCGGCUAACUACGUG